UAAUUGCGAUAAGUCAUGUGAAUUGUAGAUUCGUGCGAAUCAUCGAAAUUUUGAACGCAUAUUGUACGUUUUGAUUUAAAACUCGAAACGUGUCUCUGUUUGAGCGCAAAAUAAUAAUAACGAUAUCUUUCACUUUUGUGUAAAAGAAAUCAUGUUGUGAUUCUGAUAAUUUAAUUAUUGGAAUUAUUAAAAUGUUUUUUCCAGUUGUUUAAUUUGAAACUUGGGUUAAAGUUAAUUUUAUAUUAUCUCCAAUUUCUUAUUUUCAAUUUCGUUCCUUUGGAACACAAAACUUUGCCUCAAAUCAGGGAAGGAUACCCGCUGAAUUUAA
rnacentral:misc_RNA from 1 species